GACGAACGCUGGCGGCGUGCCUAAUACAUGCAAGUUGAGCGCUGAAGGUUGGUACUUGUACCAACUGGAUGAGCAGCGAACGGGUGAGUAACGCGUGGGGAAUCUGCCUUUGAGCGGGGGACAACAUUUGGAAACGAAUGCUAAUACCGCAUAAAAACUUUAAACACAAGUUUUAAGUUUGAAAGAUGCAAUUGCAUCACUCAAAGAUGAUCCCGCGUUGUAUUAGCUAGUUGGUGAGGUAAAGGCUCACCAAGGCGAUGAUACAUAGCCGACCUGAGAGGGUGAUCGGCCACAUUGGGACUGAGACACGGCCCAAACUCCUACGGGAGGCAGCAGUAGGGGAUCUUCGGCAAUGGACGAAAGUCUGACCGAGCAACGCCGCGUGAGUGAAGAAGGUUGUCGGAUCGUAAAACUCUGUUGGUAGAGAAGAACGUUGGUGAGAGUGGAAAGCUCAUCAAGUGACGGUAACUACCCAGAAAGGGACGGCUAACUACGUG
rnacentral:rRNA from 1 species